CUUUACUAUAGCCUGGAAUUGUGUUCGGGCUUCGCUUACGCAGGAUAGGUGGGAGGCUAUGAAGUUCUGCUUGUGGGCAGAAUCGAGCCAACGGUGAGAUACCACUUUAGCGAGGCUAGAAUUCUAGCCCUUGCCCAUGAUCUGGGAAGGAGACAGUUUCAGGGGGGUAGUUUGACUGGGGCGGUCGCCUCCUAAAAGGUAACGGAGGCGCGCAAUGGUUCUCUCAGGCUGGUUGGAAAUCAGCCGUAGAGUGUAAAGGCAUAAGGGAGCUUGACUGCAAGACCUACAAGUCGAGCAGGGUGGAAACACGGUCUUAGUGAUCCGACGGUGCCGCAUGGAAGGGCCGUCGCUCAACGGAUAAAAGUUA
rnacentral:rRNA from 1 species